rnacentral:rRNA from 1 species
UACGUAGGGUGCAAGCGUUGUCCGGAAUUAUUGGGCGUAAAGAGCUCGUAGGCGGUCUGUUGCGUCGGCUGUGAAAACCCGGGGCUCAACCCCGGGCCUGCAGCCGAUACGAGCAGACUAGAGUUCGGCAGGGGAGACUGGAAUUCCUGGUGUAGCGGUGAAAUGCGUAGAUAUCAGGAGGAACACCUGUGGUGUAGACAGCUUACUGGACCACUUCUGACGCUGAGACACGAAAGCGUGGGUAGCAAACAGG